rnacentral:rRNA from 1 species
AACGAACGCUGGCGGCAGGCCUAACACAUGCAAGUCGAGCGCCCCGCAAGGGGAGCGGCGGACGGGUGAGUAACGCGUGGGAACGUACCCUUUGCUACGGAAUAGCCUCGGGAAACUGGGAGUAAUACCGUAUGUGCCCUUCGGGGGAAAGAUUUAUCGGCAAAGGAUCGGCCCGCGUUGGAUUAGGUAGUUGGUGGGGUAAUGGCCUACCAAGCCGACGAUCCAUAGCUGGUUUGAGAGGACGACCAGCCACACUGGAACUGAGACACGGUCCAGACUCCUACGGGAGGCAGCAGUGGGGAAUUUUGGACAAUGGGCGCAAGCCUGAUCCAGCCAUUCCGCGUGCAGGAUGAAGGCC